UAGGACGAGCACUCAAAAAGGAAGUGAGAGAGGAAGCAAAUGGUCAAAGCUCCUGGCGGCUGGAGGAGAUUUGACAAGACGUAGACAUUUCCUGACACACUGACAGGACGUCAGCUGACAGGUGACGGGGGGAGGGUCUCAACGCUCAUUGGCCUAUCGCGUCGCGCGAAUAUGUCGCCCGAGUUCCAACGUUCCAGUCGCGUCUUUGCGACGGAAAACGAUCUCCGACUGACAAUUAAUAAUGUAAAUAAAUACAUUGUCAAUGUGACACCAGAUGCUAAAACAGCUUUUUUCCCAUAGUUCUUGACGUAGGAGCUUCAGUGUUAAAUCUUUAAAACACAUCCGCGAGUAAAAAAGAACUUUGCUGCUUCUUCAAAUGAACCCAAAUUAUCAUUUUAAUGAGGGAGAGGAAAAAGAAUCCAUCUAAGAAUAAGUAAACUCUGCUCACCCGACCAAAUAUUUGAUGCAAACUUGUCUUGCGUCUGACAGUUUUCAUUACGUGAGACCACAAACACAUUUUAACAUUCAAGAGAUCCACGAGCCAACCAUGUCAGACGUGCAAAAAAAAGAAAAAAUUGGCUCCUAUAAAAGUGAGUGGAGCAACAUUUCUCAAAGUUUGACAGUUUGAGUGACUCUAAUAUCAUCCGUCUUUCUUUUCCUUCUAGUUUUUUAACAAGCUGCACAUUGUACAUGUUUCAGCUGGAGAUGUUUUUCAAGGACGAGUCAUGUAAACAUAAAUUAUCAUGCCUAGUGAAAUAUGCCACUGAUGUGAGUCUACCCCAAUUUGUGCUGCCUUUUAUAUAUUUUUUCAUCUUCCCAUCUGUAAGCAUGUCAGCAUGCAGCUGAAAUCCAUAAUCCGCCACAUUUCCUUUAGAAAAGAAUUGUACUGCACACGUUUCACCCCUGAACUAACCAGGUAAUACCAAGAUUAGCAUCAUUGUCACAGUAUUAUCCGAAGAUCAUAUUCACCCAAUAAUAAUAAUAACAAUAAUAAUAAUAUCUUGAGAUGUUUCUUCCCUUUCAUUAUUCCAAUUUGCGCCAUAACUCAUUCUUUUAAACAAUAAGAAGAAAAUCCUGCGAUUAUCCGAGAUAUUCUCUGUGUUGUGUUGAGAUCCACCAGGUUUUAUUCUCCAGAUGUUUGAAAAAUGAAUGUGUCAGUGGAUAGAAAAGGUGUUUGUUUGACAUUAAUAAGCAUCUCGAACAAACGAGCAAAGCAUUUGAAGGUUGUUUUAAGAGCUGCAAAAGUUAAUCGACUUGUCGAUUAGUAAUCGAUUACUAAAUUAAUCGCCAACCAUUUUGAUAGUCGACUAAUCUGUCGUUUUUAUUAGAAAAAAAGUCUUGAUUCUCUGAUUUCAGCUCCUUAAAUGUGAAUAUUUUCUGGUUUCUUUGCUCCUCUGUGACGGUGAACUGAAUAUCUUUGGUGUGUGGACGGAACAAACUUCAUGUCGUGGGUUUGGGGAAACACGAUCAACAUUUUUCACCAUUUUGUGACAUUUUAUGACCAAGCGACUCAUCGGCUAAUCAAGACAAGAAUCGUUAGUUGCAGCCCCUAGUAGUUUUAAUAAAAACGCCUUAUGAACCGACCUGGUUCGCAUCUUCUUGUGGUUCUUGAAAAACACCCGGGGAGACUCCGAUAUUGCUCCUUGAUUAACAGACGAUCUCUGGGUAAUGAAGUGCGCAGACGCCUCUCGGCCCCGAGGCCUGUCGAGAGACACAGGAUCAAGAGGUGCUGGCAGGUUUCCAGGCCCGCGUGUUCAGAGAGGAGGCUCCGGGCCUGUUAUUUUCCCAGCGGGGCGACGAUAACCUGAAGAUAAAGACAAUCGAGCUUUUGACCUGCGAGACGCUGGGAUGGAUUCCCCCCCGCAGCCUGCAGGCGAGGGGAAAAUCUGGAAAAAACGCGGCAGCACUCGAAGGCGGCGUCCACGCGCUUCGAUGCAAAGCAGGUGUAAUUUCUUUUAAAUUUUCUUACAGAAGAGGAGAUAUUUGUGUCUGGACAGGACAACUGGGGGGGGGGGUUCUGUUUGAUGGAUGUGAACCUUUUUAGGAAGUCGGGAACUUGCAGCGCUGUCAGUUGUUUAAUUGCGUUUUUGUCCAUUUCCUGUUUUGAAGCUGAUCGUUGUGUUAGUGUGGACUAAAAACUAAAAGCUAAAAAGUGUGGACGGAGAUCGUUCCAGGUUUAAAAUGAGUUUGGAUGUAGCCUCGGGCGUUGGGUUGAUUUUCUACGUCUGUAUGUCACAGUGCCACGGCACAGUGGUGUUCCGGUUGAGAAAAGGCAUCGGGAGAGGUGCGAAGACCUCGCACACGGCCCUGGCGUGUAACCGUCGCUAUCUCAAAUCCGGAGGAAGGAGGGUUACGAACAGCUUAGGGGAAAGAUGGAGAGAUGAAGUACACGGGAGAAGGAGAGAGGGCGAGGCAUGAGGAAGAGGAAAAGUCAAGAGGAGAUUAGGAGAGAGGGUGCGAAGGGGAGGAAACGAGUGAGAUGCCACAAGCUGCUGAGAAGAAAGAUAAUUGCCCCAUGCAGAGCUCGAGAAGCUGUGUGUGUGUACGGUGUGUGUGUGUGUGUGUGUGUGUGUGUGUGUGUGUGUGUGUGUGUGUGUGUGUGUAAUAGCUGGACAUUAUUCCUUUUUUGCCCCGCUCAGCUGUAUCGGAGCUGCGUCCUCGUGGUAUUAUAUUUUUUAACCCCCGCGAAUUAACCGGGCGAAGAACAAAGUCUCUCUUUUUUUCUUUUUUUUCUUUUUUUAAAAUGUCGCUGCUAUGCAGAAUGGUAAAAGAAAAGAACGUGCGUUGAAAGGAAAAGUCACAGCGGAGCCUGAUGAACACAGAGACCGAGGAGGGACAAUGAUCGCACAACGACAAUGGAACGAGUCAUAGAUUUAUCAAUAGAAAUAUUAAAAUGUGUACAGUUAAAACAACAGGAAACACAAAAUCCUUUCCUUUCCCUCUAUCCCUCUAUCCCUCCAUCACCCUCCCCUCCCUCGUCCAAGCGUCUCUUCUCUCCAUCCCUCCUCCUGAUCGGCCCUUCUUUGUCCCGACAGUUCUGCUCCCUCCUCCUCCUCCUCCUCCGCUCUUCCUUUACCUUUCUCUUUCUCCAUCCUCUCUUCCCACGCUCAUGAACUUGUCGUCCCUUGUCUUCCCCGUCUCUGUCAGUUUUGUUGUUCCCUUCCCGCCCCCUCCCCCUCGUCUUAAUGAACGUCUUUCUUCAGUCCGGGAUUCUCUCCUCGUCCCUGCUUCGGUAUGAAAUUGGUUUCUAAGUGAUUUAUGAACGAUGAGAGGCUUAUAAGGAGUUUAUGUCGUAACUCUUCAUUACGCCACUAUUAACUGCCUUCUUCUGUUCUCUCCGUGUGUGUGUGUGUGUGUGUGU